rnacentral:rRNA from 1 species
CGUUCUUUCGGAAGUCAGUGGCAGACGGGUGAGUAACACUGGGAACGUGCCUUCGUUCGGAAUAACUCAGGGAAACUUGAGCUAAUACCGGAUACGCCCUUUUGGGGAAAGGGUUGACUGCCGAAGGAUCGGCCCGCGUCUGAUUAGCUUGUUGGUGGGGUAACGGCCUACCAAGGCGACGAUCAGUAGCUGGUCUGAGAGGAUGAUCAGCCACACUGGGACUGAGACACGGCCCAG